rnacentral:rRNA from 1 species
AUGUGGACCGAUGAGCUCAAAGUUUCUGUGCAUGCUGCUGCUUUUCACUAUAUUUUAGCAAAUGUAGUUCAUACAUCUUUAGGGGUCAACUUUUGUCUUAUUUGUAUAUAUGGCGACCCGUAUCACAGGCAGACUAAUGCCAUCAGCUGGGACCAAGUUCCUAAUUUUGUCUAUGAUAACAUAGGAAAGCCCAUGGUUUGUAUGGGGGACCUUAAUGAUAUCCUUUAUGAUGUGGAUGCGUGUGAUGGUAAUAUCAACUUAUAUCGUAUGAAUGCUUUC